rnacentral:rRNA from 1 species
AGCGAACGCUGGCAGCAGGCCUAACACAUGCAAGUCGAACGAACCUUUCGGGGUUAGUGGCGGACGGGUGAGUAACACGUGGGAACGUGCCUUUAGGUUCGGAAUAACUCAGGGAAACUUGUGCUAAUACCGAAUGUGCCCUUCGGGGGAAAGAUUAAUCGCCUUUAGAGCGGCCCGCGUCUGAUUAGCUAGUUGGUUGAGGUAAUGGCUCACCAAGGCGACGAUCAGUAGCUGGUCUGAGAGGAUGAUCAGCCACAUUGGGACUGAGACACGGCCCAAACUCAUACGGGAGGCAGCAGUGGGGAAUCUUGCGCAAUGGGCGAAAGCCUGACGCAGCCAUGCCGCGUGAAUGAUGAAGGUCUUAGGAUUGUAAAAUUCUUUCACCGGGGACGAUAAUGACGGUACCCGGAGAAGAAGCCCCGGCUAACUUCGU